rnacentral:rRNA from 1 species
AGCGAACGCUGGCGGCGUGCCUAACACAUGCAAGUCGAACGUGAAAAGGGGCAACCCUGAGUAAAGUGGCGUACGGGUGAGUAACGCGUAGGUAAUCUACCUUAGAGUCUGGAAUAACCUGCCGAAAGGCGGGCUAAUACUGGAUAGAGCGACGGAAUCCGUAAUUGGGUUUUUCGGGAAAGGGAGCCUGCAAGGGCCCUUGCUCUGAGAUGAGCCUGCGUCUCAUUAGCUUAGGNGGUGGGGUAAUGGCCUACCAAGGCAUUGAUGGGUAGCUGGUCUGAGAGGAUGAUCAGCCACACUGGAACUGAAACACGGUCCAGACUCCUACGGGAGGCAGCAGUGGGGAAUCUUGCGCAAUGGACGAAAGUCUGACGCAGCCACGCCGC